GCUGGUCAUCUGUACCACUUUCUCGAUGGCCGUGUAGCCAGCCGCCAUGAAGUGCUCUGUGUACUGCUGCAUCUUAAUAGACUCCAGCCACUCGGACACCGUGCGGAAGGGCACCCCCUCGGAGCCGCUGGUGCUGGGCAGCCGGAUGGACACCCUGGAACGGGAACCACCCACCUGCAGGCAGCAGCACAGUGGAAGUGGUCAGCCUCCACCUCUACUGCUGUUCCUCUGAUCCCACCGGUAAGACCACUGUCAGGACCCCAAAUCACUAAGUGCGAGGAGCAGAGACUCAGGGUCCUGGGGUCACAACCCCAGCCCGGCCACUCACCAGCCACAAGAGAGACUUAGCCCCUGUGUCUGUUCCUCAUCUACCAGGGAUGAUUUCAGGACCUCUCUGGGAGGAGGUUCUGAUGACUUAAAACACGUCAAGUGCGGAGCAGCGGCAGCACAGGUCCCAGGAAGCUGGUGUCUCCCGCCAGUUAGACACCCCGCCACCUCCACGGGAAGCCCAAGCAUGACUUCUGAGCCCCCUCGCCGCCCCGACUCCCCCAGCUGCUACACCCAAGUGGCUCAGGAGACCCCAAGAGUGAAGCUGGGGGUCACCACGGGCCAAGGACGUGGGACUCACCGGGGGUCGAAGUCAGCCAGGGUCUUGAGGGAGUCGGGGGCUCGGAUGAGCUUGUCGAGGAUGCUGACGAUGUCGGCGAACUUGGGGCGGCGGGUGCGCUCCUGCUGCCAGCACUGCAUCAUGAGCUGGUAGAUGGCGGACGGGCAGUCCAUGGGCGUGGGGAGCCGGAAGCCGUCGUUGAUGGCUUUCAUCACCUGGGUGCGAAAGGAGGGUCAGGGUGGCCCCGCAGGAGCCACAGGGAUCGGGGCACAGAGGUAGGGAGGGGAGGGAGGGAGCCCCAGAGGCAGACGGGACGGACCUCCUUUGUUAGGUCCAACGCCACCCUCAGAGCCACACACGGGCCAGGGGCCAGGGGCUGGCUCCAGAGCGCCGGGGAGGAGGUCCUGCAGCCCACCGUGCGCCCGGCGGCCCGGCUCCCCUCUGGACGUCCCCUGGCGAGGGUGCUGCUCCUCACCAGGCCCGGGUCAGAAAGCAGGCUCGUGGACACACAUGCAGACGCACGUGCGAGUGCACACCCCACCUCCUGCUCCUCGUCAGCCGGACCACAGCCCCCCUCUCCGCUGCCUGGGCCCCAGAACUUGGGGCUGGCGUUCGGUCAGCCCGGGGAGGCCGCCCACCUCGUGGUUGGACAGCUCCCAGUAGGGCCGCUCGCCAUAGGCCAUCACUUCCCACAUGACGAUGCCGUAGCUCCACACGUCGCUGGCCGAGGUGAACUUGCGGUAGGAGAUGGCCUCAGGGGCCGUCCAGCGGAUGGGGAUCUUGCCGCCCUGCAGCGGAGCCGGGCCCAGUCACUGCUGUCCCCUCUGGCCAGGCCUUGGGGCAGAGUGAAGGCAGAGCAGUCCCCCUGCCCACAGGGACGGCCCGCUCCCCACUCACGCUGGUGGUGUAGGUGGCCUCGGGGUCGUCCUCCAGCACGCGGGACAGGCCAAAGUCGGACACCUUGCAGACCAGGUUGCUGUUGACCAGGAUGUUGCGGGCGGCCAGGUCGCGGUGCACGUAGUUCAUGUUGGCCAGGUACUUCAUGCCCGACGCAAUGCCCCGCAGCAUGCCCACCAGCUGCAGCACGCUGAACUCGCCGUCCUUCUCCUGCUCGGGCACAGCCCUCAGCUGCCACGGGGCCCCGAGCCCAGCAGGGCACCAGGCCCAGCUCCCUUGCCCACCGCUGCCCAUGUCCUUGCCCGCCAGCGCCCGCAUCCUUACCCGAAGGAACUUGUCGAGAGCCCCGUUCUCCAUGUACUCCGUGAUGAUCAUCAUGGGUUUGUCUGCGGGGCGUUGGCACAGGCGUGAGGCAGGCAGACCAGGCGUGGGGCGAGGUGGGCGCAGCUGUGGGCAGCCCCUCUGCCCCCAACCUGUGUCAGGCCCCUAGGGUCCCCCAAGCCUCACAUUUGGAGACGACGCCCUCCAGACGGAUGAUGUUGUGGUGGCUGAACUGGCCCAUGAUGCUGGCCUCGCUCAGGAAGUCCACACGCUGCUUCUCGGUGUAGCCUGCCUUCAGGGUCUUGAUGGCCACGGGCACCUCCUUCUUCCCUGAGGACGCCUUCAGGGUCCCCUUGUACACCUCCCCAAACUCUCCUGUGGGUGGGCGGGGGAGCCCGGUCAGCCUGGGUGCCGGGCAGCUCCACCCGGAUCACCCGGCGACAGGCGCUCCGGCUCACCUGCUCCGAUCACCUUCUGCCGGGUGACGCAGGACGGGUGGAUCUCGGUGGUGAACUUGAGCACGGCCUGGUUGGGGUCUUCGUAGGUGUGAGGGUCCACAUAUGUCUUUAGGGGCUUCAGCUGCUCUGGAAGGGGAAGAAGGGCAGGGUCACAGGCAGCUGGGGAGGGGCCCCUGGGAGGCGAGGCCCCUCGAGGAGGAGGAAGAAGCCCCUGAUCAGGCGCCUGGGAGAUGUGGGCCGGGCUGUGGGGCCGGGCCCUCUGGCAGAGCCCUGCGAGCUGCCCGGGGCGCCCUGCCGGCCUCGCCCCUGCCCCUGAGGGUGCUGGGAGGCGGGGCCGUGGCUCACCUGACUUGGAGAAGUAGACGUCCUCCGAGGGCUGGCGGCCGCGCAAGCUCUUCCUCCUGAAAGAACCCACGGGCCCCGACCUGGGUCAGCGGGGCCUGCCCGGGCCGGGGGACCACCUGCAGGGCACCGACCACGCUCAGUGCCCCGCUCAGCCUCUGCUCUGGGGCAGGGGGUGCGGGAGCCAGAACAAAUGCCAGCCAGGACACAGGCUUUGGCAUCUGCCCCAUCACGGCCUGUAAGCGGCCACAGAGAGGCUGCCCUCACCAGGGGGCCAGGCCUCCUGCAGAGGUAACGCCACGGGGUCCUGAGCCCCCCGUGGUGCCAGGCGUUGCUCAGCCAGUCUGCUCAGCACACCCCCACCUCACCCGGGGCCAGCGACCGGGCUGGACUGGAAUCCUACCUGCGGUGGAUGAAGAGGCCGAUUCCUGCCAGGACCAGCAGCAGGGUCACGCCCACGGCCACGCCGCCAAUCACUGCCAUGCUGCCAGGACCUUCUGUGGCUGCUGGAAAGACCAGCUGAUGACAGGAAGCCCCCCACCCAAGUCGCACAGCCCCGCCCCGCUGUACCCAGGACACGGGGUCUCCUUUGAGCUGGGGUUUGCUCCUGAGGCCCAUCCCGGGCCUCCCUGUGGGCCUCACGGCAGGGAUGGUCUGGGGUGGGGACUCCACUCUGGCUCCGUCCCUAGCGCACAAUCUGAACUCAGGUCUGCCAACGCCAGAGCCCCUAGUGCGGCUCUUUCUCAGGACACUCCUGAUGUGCCUCCCUGGUCUACGUCCCACUGCAACUCUGCCCUCUCCCCACGAGGGGACAGUCCACGCAGGGCCGUCCCAGGCCCCGCUGACCAGGAGACUGGAGUUUCUCAACUUGGAUCCGCCCCCCACCCACGUCCUGAUGGCUCAGUUUCAGAGCCUUGGGGGGACAUGUGCCCGGGACCCUCAACUCACACAGCGUCUGGAACUCGUGCACCUUGCUGCCAGCCCCCUGGCCCUCCUGCGUCAAUGCCUGCACCUGGACCAGGUAGGUGGUGUCCGGAGCCAGGUCGUCCAGGGUCACAGAGAAGCCCUCCGUGCGGCGCACGUUGUAGCUGUUGGAGUCGCCCUGUGGGUGGGCGGGCGGGGCAGGCGGUGAGGCCAGGGCAGGGCCUCAGCUCAGCGCCCCCGAGACACCCCUCCAGCGAGCUGGUCCUGGUCAGCAACUGGAGGCUCUUCUUACAGAGGAAGACACUGAGGCUCAGGGAAGCGAGCUGACUCGCUCAAGGUCACAGUGAGGCCAGAGCCAGGACUCCCCCCAGGGCUGUCCGGUCCCGAGACCCUGCCUUCCCCGCCCCACUGCUGCUUCCAGGAUCCAGAGCACGCCCACGGUCACUGCCGAGGUGCCCUGGGAGCCCCUCCGCGGCGAGGCUGUGAGCAUCUAUGUGGCCAGCCCACCGCUGGUCCUGGGCCCGGCCGGGGCCAGCACAGACCCCUCAGCGAGCUACCUUCUUGCGCCACCACCCUGGCACUCACCUGUCUGGUUGAUGCUGACGCUGGCGGUGCGGAAGCUGCGGCUGGUCACCAGGCCCGAGACACCGUUGCGGGCCUCGACAGCGAAGGUGUAGUUCAUGUGGGGCUCCAGGUCACUGACGGUCACGCUGGUGCGCGUCAGCGCGUGGGGGGGCUCUGAGUAGCGCACGCUGGCCUCGCAGGGCCCGCACUCGCCGGACUCUGGCCAGCACUGUUCGCAGGUGACACUGUAGAUGAUGUCUUCGCGGCCCCCGCUGUCCUGGGGGGGCGUCCACCGCAGCUCCACGUUGGCGCCCAUGCCCACGGCCGUCAGGGCAUGGACAGCGGGUCCUCGGGCGCCCGGAAGUAGCCCUCCUCGCACUCGCAGGAGCUGGCACCCUCGAGGGACGGCAGCGUGUGUGCUGGGCACGGCAAGCAGAGGCUGUCGGAGGCCUCGGACUUGAAGAAUCCCGCACAAGCCAAGAGCUUGGGCACAGGGGGCUGGGGACACGCAGCAGGACCACGGAGGCCCAGGACCAACGCCUGAUCUGUGCAGAGCUCGGACCCCCAAGGACAGUGAGCAUGCAUGAAGCGCCCACUGUGUGCAGGGUCUGGGCCAAGCACGUCACAUCCGUUCGGUCCUCACAGCACAGCGUGUUAGGCACGGCCACCAAUACACACCUCAUUCUUCAGGAACGCCCCGAUUUGGAGUUAAGAGAAACCAGCGCUUUGCAGUAAGCCCAAAGAGAGAGGAGCCGAGGCCUGACCUGCAGCAACAGCCAGAAAAUUCCAGGACUCAUUUCGGAUCCCCUCCCAGGGAAGAGCGCAGUGUGUGUGGAAGAGCACAGAGCCCAUGCCAGGGGGCGGGGGGAUUAGCUAAAGUGGCCCCCUGGAGUCCCAAAUGUCUUUGAAAGUCUCCUGUUGGAUUUAAGAAAUCCAUGUGCAUUUCCAAUCUCCCCCUCACAUACACAGAGCUCUCUCCUCCCCCAAAUCUUCAAGUUUAAAAAAUGAGACUCCGGGAAGCCCAACUCCCCAGCUCUGACCUGACCACUGGGACCCGGGUAAGCUGGAUCCAUGGUCCAGGUCCGGGGGGUAGGGGCCUGGGGCUGUGGGCCUGGCCCCCAGAACCACAGCCACCCCAGCCCUGGCUCGCCCGCUAGCGAGUGCACCCCAAGCCCCCAGCUCAGGCCCCAGACACCUGCAAACCCCCAGCUGCCCCAACUGGCCACCCUGUGCUCCCAAGCCCCUCACCCGAGGCCAAGAGGAGGAAGUGGGGGAAGAGAUGGGUUCCAUUCUCUGGCUCCAAAGCCUGGGGGUGGCCUGCCUGCUGCCGGCAGGAAAGAGGGAAUUUGGAGAGAUUUCCGCUGCGGAUGUGCCAGAUAAUACAGCAGAGAGGCGGCGGCAACAGGGCAUGUGCGUGCCUGACCAGAAUGUGCUGCCCCUCCUCCAACCCCAAGGGCCAGGAUCUCCCUGGGCUGGCGGGGAGUCUGCACGGGUUGGGGUCCCAGAAUUCAGGAGUAGGACACCGGCAAGCUGCAACCUGGCAUUCUGGCAGGCGAGGGGGGAGAAAAUCACACACACAAGGGCACCCACGCCCACCAUCCCUAGGCCAGCCAACGAACUCCUAUGCAUCCUUCAGUACCCAGCUUAAGCUCCUCCGCACAGCCUUCCCAGACUGGCUGCCCCUGGCCCCCGCGGGCCCCAUUAAGGCAUCUGUUACUCAACCUCAUGUUUACCAAACAAGAAAGGAGUGCGUCCUACGGGUCUGGCACAGUGCUGGGGACGGGAGAGGGUGAUGACACAGAUAAACAUCUUUCAAUUCCA